AUUGAACGCUGGCGGCAGGCCUAACACAUGCAAGUCGAACGGUAACAGGAAGAAGCUUGCUUCUUUGCUGACGAGUGGCGGACGGGUGAGUAAUGUCUGGGAAACUGCCUGAUGGAGGGGGAUAACUACUGGAAACGGUAGCUAAUACCGCAUAACGUCGCAAGACCAAAGAGGGGGACCUUCGGGCCUCUUGCCAUCGGAUGUGCCCAGAUGGGAUUAGCUAGUAGGUGGGGUAACGGCUCACCUAGGCGACGAUCCCUAGCUGGUCUGAGAGGAUGACCAGCCACACUGGAACUGAGACACGGUCCAGACUCCUACGGGAGGCAGCAGUGGGGAAUAUUGCACAAUGGGCGCAAGCCUGAUGCAGCCAUGCCGCGUGUAUGAAGAAGGCCUUCGGGUUGUAAAGUACUUUCAGCGGGGAGAAAGGGAGUAGAGUUAAUACCUGUGCUCAUUAACGUUACCCGCAGAAGAAGCACCGGCAAACUCCGG
rnacentral:rRNA from 1 species